UACGUAGGUGACAAGCGUUGUCCGGAUUUACUGGGCGUAAAGAGCGCGCAGGCGGUCGAUCAAGUCGAGUGUGAAAGCCCCCGGCUCAACUGGGGAGGGUCAUUCGAUACUGAUCGACUCGAAGGCAGGAGAGGGUAGUGGAAUUCCCGGUGUAGUGGUGAAAUGCGUAGAUAUCAGGAGGAACACCGGUGGCGAAGGCGGGUCUCUGGGCAGUAACUGACGCUGAGGAGCGAAAGCGUGGGGAGCGAACAGG
rnacentral:rRNA from 1 species